CCCAGUGUCUAGAAAAGUUCCUGGCAUACAACGGGUCCCCAGUUUAUUGAAUGAAUGAAUGAGUCUGUAAGUAAGGUAUCUUUUAAUUCUCUUGAAAAGCACCAUAACUAUGUAGACUCACAGUAUGAUCCUAAUUUUAUUUAAAUCAAUCUUAUGAUGCAGACCUAUAAAUAAAGACAAAAUUCACCAACAUAUUUACGGCUAUUACCUCUUACUUAUGGAGUGAGAGGUUACCUUAUUUUUCAUAUUUCUGUAUUUUCCAAUUUCUCUACCAUGAAUAUUACCUUGAUGCUAGAAAAGAAAUUUUAUCUUAUGCUAAAAUAUAGAAGAAAGAAGUCAGGGUAAAAGAAAAAGGUGCUCUCUGGGUAAGCGAACCUGUGUGUGUGUGUGUGUGUGUGUGUGUGUGUGUGUGUGUGUGUGCGUGCGCGCGCGCGCACGCGCGCUGCAAUCUAAGGCGGUUCUUAUUAUCUUAUUCUGUAAAUACAUGGUUUCUGCAGUCUGAAGCUAUUGUUUUAAUUUCAGUACUGACAAGCUCUCUGUGCAACAAAGGGAAAUCUAGCAGAGUUUCCUUGGAUGAGAAACAGAGAUGGUGAUAAUAAUGACCGCCCUACCUUUGUCUUUUGGGAAUUAUAAAAUACCAUAAAAAUUUACCUGUCAUAAUCCACCUCUAGUCUACCAAACUCUAGUGCUAACCAAAACUUUCCAGAGGAGAUGAAUAUAUUCUCCAGUAGCUAUCCAAGUGGAGCUAUCAGGUAGGCAGGUGGGUACACCAGUUUGGAAUUUAGGGGAGAGGUUCAGAGCAAGUGUUUCAGCGUAUUAAUCAUAUCUAAAGCCAUGAGACUGGCUGAGAUCCCAAAAGUACGCAUGUAGAUAAAGAAGUAAUCCAAGUUUUGAGACCUGGAUGUGAGAAGAAACAAGCGAAAGAAACUUAGGAAGAACAGCCAGGGAAGCAGAAAGAAAACCAAGAGAAUGGUUGUCCUGGAAGCCAAGUUCAAAAGGAUUCCUUGGAGGAAGGAUAUUGGUCAACAGGUCAAAUGCUACUGCCAGGUCACAGAAUAUGCAAUUGGCCAUGAGGCGUAACAAUGUGGAAACCACCGGUGGGUGACCUUGACAAGGAUAGUUUUGGUGGAAUGGUGAGGAUGAAAGCCUGACUAAAAUGAGUUUAAGGGAGGAAGGGAUGGAUAAAAACGGAAAUCGUGAUACAGAACAUGUUUGGAAGGUUUGGUAUGAAAGGGUAUAGAGGAGUAGACAGCAGGCAGAGUGGGAAGUGGUUAUUUCCAAGUAGUUCUCCUGAAGGAAAAGCAGAAAAAUUGCCUGGGGUUACAAAUAAAAAAGACAUCAAGACUGGUAGAGGUGGUGCUGGGAAGUCUGGUGUAAGGAAGCUUUGCUCAGUCUGGUGAGAAGGUCCAAGAAAGGAAGUGGUACACUAACAGUUAAACAAAAUUGACAAAUGGUGCCUGGUUGGAGACUAGGAAAAUGUCUCAGAGAAGGAGAGUAUGAGACAUAAAUGUGUAUUCCGGAUUAGUGAAUUUCAUCAACAUACAAAAAUCAAUUGGUAUGAUAUACCACAUUAACAUAUUGAAAGAUAAAAACCACACAAUUAUCUCAACAGAUGCAGAAAAGGCACUUGACAAAAUUCAAAACCUCUUCAUCAUAAAACCUCUCAACAAACUACGUUUAGGAGGAAGUUACUUCAACAGAUUGGUAAAUUUCAGCCUUUCAACUCUAAUUUAGUACAAACUAUGUUCCCAGUCACUUUCAGGAGAAUAGACAUAAUUUUAACAUCUAUUGCCUAAAAUUUAUGACAAAAGGUUACCACAAGUUCAGUAAUCCUUUUAUUUGAAUUUGUGUUUUAUGAACUAAUCAAAAUACUGUUUGACAAAAAAGUAGUGAAUAUAUGUUUGAAACAUUCCAUAUUAUCCUUCCAGGCUACAGAUGACACGUAAUAUACAUAUGGCUCUGUGGAUCCCUCUUGCAAUAACUCCUCUCCAGAUUUUAGGGAAGAUGGAUUUUUUGGUACAUCCUCUCCCUUAAGUCUCACUCAUAUGUCCAUAUUUUCAUACUUAUUGAGCACCCAUUAUGUGCCAGGACACUAUUCAUCUCCAUUUUCCCCUUUGGAUUCUAUGUUCCUGUCAUGUGAGGGCAGCUCCUUAAGUAUUCCAUUAUCUGUCUGGCUUCCAGAUCUUUCCUUACAUUGUUCUUUGCCUGAAGAGGCCCUUUCUCCACUUCUCUCCCAGUCAGCUUCCAACUAUUAUUCUGAACUCUACA